rnacentral:rRNA from 1 species
UACGGGGGGGGCAAGCGUUGUUCGGAAUUACUGGGCGUAAAGGGCUCGUAGGUGGCCAACUAAGUCGGACGUGAAAUCCCUCGGCUUAACCGGGGAACUGCGUCCGAUACUGGUUGGCUUGAGUUUGGGAGAGGGAUGCGGAAUUCCAGGUGUAGCGGUGAAAUGCGUAGAUAUCUGGAGGAACACCGGUGGCGAAGGCGGCAUCCCGGACCAAUACUGACGCUGAGGAGCGAAAGCCAGGGGAGCAAACGGG